rnacentral:misc_RNA from 1 species
UCUAACAUCGCAUCGCUUCAGCAAAAAUCGGUCGGAACCAGCCCAAGAAUGCGAUAAGAAGCGUAUGGCUGUUUUAGAGGUCCGCUCCAACAGCAGGCGGUACAUGUCUGCAGCUAUCGACUAAUAAUGAUGGACGUGACAUUAAAUGAAACUUUGUGCCCCGGAUCCUUUGUGUCUCGACCUGGAAAAAGAUGAUAGUGUUUCUUAUGCCCUCUGCGACUUGCUACGGCGAACAUGGGGCUUAUAUUACGGAUAACUUGUCUGUGAUUACAUUCAACAUCCAACUCAAUCGUCAAAAUGGUUCUUAAUAUGUUCUGGUCUUCGUUGAAUGGCUGUCGACAUCUCCUGAUUCGUCGAUUUUCUUUUACGAAGGUAUUUAAAGUCUGUAGUAUGCAGGGAAUAGCAAAACUGAAAUACAUUUUUAUUUUAUGAAAUAUCUUUUUAAGACGGAGUCUAGAUAAAAAAUGUUUCAUAUUAAAGCCUCUUCAUUUUUCUGUUUCUACAGCAAAAAGCUACUACAAA